ensembl:lncRNA
UUUAUGAUCUGUCUCUAAGGUAUGAGACUCUAUUUUAUGAUCUGUCUCUAAGGUAUGAGACACUAUUUUAUGUUCUGUCUCUAAGGUAUAAGACUCUAUUUUCUAUUCUUCCUCUUUCCAUCUGCCUUUCUUCUAAUAUCAGUCCUCUUUCCAAACUUGUAUUAUGUUUUCUUUUUACCGAAUGGAAACUUGGUGGGCUUGGCGGACUGCAUGGAAGAUGCUGUCUUUGACUGACUUCCUUUGACGUUGUGAAGUGUUUCGGAGAGAAGUCAGAGUGAAGGUCGCUUCUAUUAGGUGCGUUCUGACGAAGUGGGGACUUUAUCACAGUCAGGACUAGGCACUUUAGAGGCCUUGACAAAAAGAAGGGUCAUCAAUUCAAGCAGAAAGCUCUGACGCACUUUUAAGUGUUCGCCAACAGGCAGAUCUAUAACAACAGACAGACCGGAACACAGACACAAAAAAAAUCUCUUUCUCACACACACACACACACACACAAUAGUACUGUCUCUCUCUACCUA